AUCCUUCUGUAGUCAUAAGAGUGACAACUGGGUUUUGACACUGUGUGAGAUAUGCCUUCUUUAUACCUUGUUACAAUGUCAGCUCAUUAACUGUCUGGCA